AGAGGAAUCAGUCCAAUUUUUCCAGGCUGAGGGACAAAAAACCCACCAGUCCAAUUGACUGUUAGUGUGGAUUGGCUGAAAAUGCUAAAGAAAAAUUGUCUGAGUGUCCAAGUGAGAGAAAGAGCAGCUCUCAUUCUGCAUCUUAAUGGCAGUAUAAAAUGACCAGCACUUCUGCAGCAGAUUACAGGGUCACAUCUCCAUUACCAUGGGGAAUGCAGAAAGCAGAAUAUUGCAGGACUGUCCCACACAAGGCAGAAAUGUGGCAGCAUUUCUCUCUGACCUGCAGGACAGUGUUGUGAAGAUGACAGUCUUUCCACAGGACCUGUUGGGACCCUCUCCACCAACCUCACCAGGAGCUGCACAAAUGCUGAUACUGCUUUACUGGUUUAUGACUAAUUGAAAAACGGAUUCAUGCCUGAAGUUUUCUACCACUGUCUCUCUGUGAAUGAACCCAAGCUGCACCCUC